rnacentral:rRNA from 1 species
CCCUUAGAUGUUCUGGGCCGCACGCGCGCUACACUGACGAAUGCAACGAGCUUAUAACCUUGGCCGAAAGGUCUGGGUAAUCUCCAAAUUUCGUCGUGAUGGGGAUAGAUUAUUGCAAUUAUUAAUCUUCAACGAGGAAUGCCUAGUAAGCGCAAGUCAUCAGCUUGCGUUGAUUACGUCCCUGCCCUUUGUACACACCGCCCGUCGCCCCUACCGAUUGAAUGGUCCGGUGAAGCGCUCGGACCGCGGCCUCUUGACGGUUUUCCGUCGAUUGGCUGUGGGAAGUUCGUUAAACCUUAUCAUUUAGAGGAAGGAGAAGUCGUAACA